rnacentral:rRNA from 1 species
AACGGCCAUACCAUGAUGAAUAUACCGGCUCUCGUUAGAUCACCGAAGUCAAGCAUCAUUGGGCGCGGUCAGUACUUGGGUGGGUGACCACCUGGGAACACCGCGUGCCGUU